AAAUCUGAUUUAGACUAGGGUUGUCACGAUACCAGAAAUUCGGUAGUCGAUACCAAUACCAGUGAAGUUACACAAUACUCGAUACCUAAUUCGAUACCACGGC